rnacentral:sRNA from 1 species
ACCUUGUACUCAUACAUGUAUCAUAUAAACCAGUUACGUAUAUUAUACCAUCUCAAUUGGAGGUAUCUCAUAAGAGUUUCUCACAAUUAAAAAAAUAAAAAUAAUGAAAAUGAAGGAGAGAGAGUGUAGAAAGUUUCUCACUUGAGAAACUCUAAGAUACUCUCAACAACCUAUCAUGACAAUUCUCAUCUCACUAUUGGUUCAAUUUUUUAAU